AAAAAAAAAAACAUAAACCCAUUUGUAACCCUAACUUACAUACUGAUGAGUUAGGCUACAGCAAUUUCCCUUCCUCUUCAAUGUGCGACGACCAAAACCCUACAGCCGCACCACCACGCGCAGCCCCUUUCCCUUAGAUUUGCUCGACGACGGAAGCAUUCUCCUUCGAUUCCACCUUCGAGACUGCCAGACGCUGAGGGAUUGACGAACAGUUCUAGCUAUCCACAUCAUCGUUCAGAUGAUACACUCAAACCCAGGAUAAAUGGAUGGAGUUGUUUCCCUCAAUCAUCUCGCGUGCGAAAACGCUUCAAGUCAUCAUUUCUGGUGUUAAUGGAACGCCGAAUGCUUCCAUGCAGCUAGUUACUUGGGUUGAGCAUGCUGAGGCUGAGAAUGAGCUGGUCCAUGGGAUCUUUACUGAUUAUGUUAGCAGUGGAAUGGCAUUUGGAGCUCGACGAUGGCUAGCUGUUUUACAACGCCAAUGCGAGAGGCUUGCAAGUCUUAUGGCCUGAAAUAUAUCUGACAUUGGAGCAAUACCAACACCAGAAGCAAGAACAAAUUUGAUGAAUGUGGCUCAUAGGAUGGUACGGAUGUUUUGCCUUCACAUAACUGGCUCAUGUCGGCAAUCAUAGACAGCCCUUUCUGAUUCAGUUGAGUAGACAGUUCGAAUAACGACUAGAAAAGUCACUGAACCAGGCCAGCCCAAUGGUUUGAUCCUGACAGCAGUAUCAACAACCUGGUUUCUUUAUCCUCACUAUCAAGUUCUUGACUAAUGAUUAUUGUAAUCUGCAGCCUGUUGGUGUGGUUGGUGCAGUAAUGCUUUUGCGUUAUAUCCAGAACUUAGGGCUGUGAUAUCGGCACUUAGGUAUCAUGAACAAUAUCCACGGCUUCCAGCUGAUUUUGAGGUAUUUCAUUUAGAUGUGGCACGACAAAAGAGAGAGGCUACAGAUGAUUGUAAUUUGACGGGUUUAUUUCCGAAGUUUUUUAGAGAGUUAGGUAUUUCGUUAGAUUAGCUUAUGUAGUUUUUUUUUAUACAAUUUAACGUAGUUUGUUAUGCAUUCAACGAUUGUAAUUUGACGGGUUUAUUUCCGAAUUGGAUGUCUACAGGUUUAUUUCGGAAUUGAAUGUGUAUUGUUUUGGUUU
rnacentral:lncRNA from 1 species